rnacentral:misc_RNA from 1 species
GAAGCUAGAACAAGACUUUGUAGGUUGAAUAUUGUUAUUUCAACUUGGGAACAAAAACAUUCACCAAUAAUGGAUGAUGUGAAAUGUAACUAUCUUGAUAUUUUGUAACUGAAAAUAAGGAAACCAGACUUUCAAUUUUGUUCAACAAUCUUAGUUUUAGUUGAGUUUAAGGAAUAUGGAAAAUAGACCUUCAAAGAAAAAACACAAAAGACAUAACAAUUAUGAGGAGCAGUUACUUGGUGAGGAAAUACCUCCCAGAAGUGAUACAGAAAAUGAUAAUAAACAUAAGAAAAAACACAAAAGAAAUAAACAUGAUGAGGAGCAGUUACUUGGUGAGGAGAUGUCUUUCAGAAGUGAUACAGAAAAUAAAAAUAAACAUAAGAAAAAACACAAAAGAAAUAAACAUGAUGAGGAGCAGUUACUUGGUGAGGAGAUGUCUUUCAGAAGUGAUACAGAAAAUGAAAAUAAACAUAAGAAAAAACACAAAAGAAAUAAACAUGAUGAGGAGCAGUUACUUGGUGAAGAGAUGUCUUUCAGAAGUGAUACAGAAAAUGAAAAUAAACAUAAGAAAAAACACAAAAGAAAUAAACAUGAUGAGGAGCAGUUACUUGGUGAGGAGAUGUCUUUCAGAAGUGAUACAGAAAAUGAAAAUAAACAUAAGAAAAAACACAAAAGAAAUAAACAUGAUGAGGAGCAGUUACUUGGUGAGGAGAUGUCUUUCAGAAGUGAUACAGAAAAUGAAAAUAAACAUAAACAUAAAAAAGCCAAAAGGAAUAAAAUAAUGAAAGAAACAGAUUCAGAAUGGAUAGAAGAGUGUUCAGGUCCAUCUAACUCUUGUCAAAGAAUCACUACUCUAGAGAUGCCAUUAUCAAGUUCUAUUUUAGAAGAUGAAAAUAAACACAAACAUAAAAAAAGGAAGAAGAAGAAAAUAUUAGAAGAAACUGAUUCAGAACAGAUAGAUACUGAUUCAGAAUGGAUAGAAGAGUGUUCAGAUCCAUCUAACUCUUGUCAAAGAAUCACUACUCUAGAGAUGCCAUUAUCAAGUUCUAUUUUAGAAAACGAAAAUAAACACAAACAUAAAAAAAGGAAGAAGAAGAAGAAAAUAUUGGUAGAAACAGAAUCAGAACACUUAGAAAAGUGUCAAAGAAUCACUACUCUGGAGAUGCCAUCAUCGAAUUCUGUUUCAGAAGGUAAAAAUAAACAUAAGAAAAAGAAGAAAAUAUUGGUAGAAACAGAAUCAGAACACUUAGAAGAGUGUCAAAGAAUCACUACUCUGGAGAUGCCAUCAUCGAAUUCUGUUUCAGAAGGUAAAAAUAAACAUAAAAAAAAGAAGAAAAUAUUGGUGAAAACGGACUUGAGCUCUGAACAGAUAGAGGAGUAUUUUGACUCGUGUGCAAGAAAAGCUAUUCGAGAGAGGUCCAUUUCAGAAGACACUCCGGUGCUUAACAUAAAACAAGAGGUGACUGACAAAACAACUGUUCCCAGAACUGAACCUCAUUCUACAUUCAUUCCACUCAAAGUUUCUGAUGCUAUUUCAGAUAUUAUUCAUGGUAGCAGCAGGGUGACCGUCACGCAGGAAAGAAGUAGUGAAUUUCUCCUCAACAACUUUGGCAUACGUCUGCGUCAAGGAAAAUGGACACCCAAAGAAGACCGUAUUUUAAGAAAGAAUUACAAAAAGGCUUUGAAGGAUAUCCCAGAAGACGACCAACAGUACAUAUUGGUCCUAUCAAAUGAUUUGCCGAUCCAGUUGAAAAAUCGUAUUAGAAAAAUGAGAAUAGACACCAAGUUUUACAGCACACUUGGCCGCAGAUUGAACAGAUUGCCAAUAUCAUGUUCGAAACGUGCCAAACACCUUUUUCAUGAGUGUACGGUUAAAGGAGUAUUUUCUGAUGCCGAGAAAAAUGAAUUGGAUAGACUGGUGUUGGUACAUGGUCACAACUGGAAGGUGAUAGGAAAGAUCAUGGGACGAUCAGUAAAUUCUGUGACAUCCUAUUUCCACAAACAUAAACCUAAAGGAGGAAAAGGGCCAUUUACUCCACUGGAACAGCAACAGCUGGCAGAUGCUGUAAGGGAUGUCAAGAAAGAGUAUGGCAUUCCCAAUGACCAGCAUCAAAACAUCCCAUGGGCAGAAAUUGCUCGCAGGGUCCCCACAAGAUCGGUUAUGCAAUGCAAGGUUGCGCAGAAUCCUAACGUCUGACCCAAGUAAAAGUGAGAGAGUAUUCAGCAAGGUGGCUAAGAAAAAACUACUGGUUGAACUAAUAUAUAAUGCUGAAAUCGCUCAUGAAUAUGACAUCAAUUGGACAAAUAUUGCAAAGCAAAUUAGCAG